rnacentral:tRNA from 1 species
GGAGAGGUGGCAGAGAGGUCGAUUGCACCAGUCUUGAAAACUGGAGUGCCUUAACGGGUACCGAGGGUUCGAAUCCCUCCCUCUCCG